rnacentral:rRNA from 1 species
GGCUCAGAUUGAACGCUGGCGGCAUGCCUUACACAUGCAAGUCGAACGGCAGCACGGGGCAACCUGGUGGCGAGUGGCGAACGGGUGAGUAAUGCAUCGGAACGUGCCAUUGAGUGGGGGAUAACGUAGCGAAAGUUGCGCUAAUACCGCAUAUUCUGUGAGCAGGAAAGCAGGGGACCGCAAGGCCUUGCGCUCUUUGAGUGGCCGAUGUCAGAUUAGCUAGUUGGUGAGGUAACGGCUUACCAAGGCGACGAUCUGUAGCGGGUCUGAGAGGAUGAUCCGCCACACUGGAACUGAGACACGGUCCAGACUCCUACGGGAGGCAGCAGUGGGGAAUUUUGGACAAUGGGCGCGAGCCUGAUCCAGCCAUGCCGCGUGAGUGAAGAAGGCCUUCGGGUUGUAAAGCUCUAUCGGCCGGGAAGAAAUCGCAUGGGUUAAUACCCUGUGUGGAUGACGGUACCGGAAUAAGAAGCACCGGCUAACUACGUG